UACAGAACUACGUCUACGGUAUAACUC
rnacentral:piRNA from 1 species